AGUGAACGCUGGCGGUAGGCCUAACACAUGCAAGUCGAACGGCAGCACAGAAAGAAAUAGAUCUUAAGGGUGGCGAGUGGCGGACAGGUGAGGAAUACAUCGGAAUCUACUUUUUCGUGGGGGAUAACGUAGGGAAACUUACGCUAAUACCGCAUACGACCUACGGGUGAAAGCAGGGGAUCUUCGGACCUUGCGCGAUUGAAUGAGCCGAUGUCGGAUUAGCUAGUUGGCGGGGUAAAGGCCCACCAAGGCGACGAUCCGUAGCUGGUCUGAGAGGAUGAUCAGCCACACUGGAACUGAGACACGGUCCAGACUCCUACGGGAGGCAGCAGUGGGGAAUAUUGGACAAUGGGCGCAAGCCUGAUCCAGCCAUACCGCGUGGGUGAAGAAGGCCUUCGGGUUGUAAAGCCCUUUUGUUGGGAAAGAAAAGCAGCAGGUUAAUACCCCGCUGUUCUGACGGUACCCAAAGAAUAAGCACCGGCUAACUUCGUG
rnacentral:rRNA from 1 species